GACGAACGCUGGCGGCGUGCUUGACACAUGCAAGUCGAACGGAAAGGCCCUGCUUUUGUGGGGUGCUCGAGUGGCGAACGGGUGAGUAACACGUGAGUAACCUGCCCUUGACUUUGGGAUAACUUCAGGAAACUGGGGCUAAUACCGGAUAGGAGCUCCUGCUGCAUGGUGGGGGUUGGAAAGUUUCGGCGGUUGGGGAUGGACUCGCGGCUUAUCAGCUUGUUGGUGGGGUAGUGGCUUACCAAGGCUUUGACGGGUAGCCGGCCUGAGAGGGUGACCGGCCACAUUGGGACUGAGAUACGGCCCAGACUCCUACGGGAGGCAGCAGUGGGGAAUAUUGCACAAUGGGCGGAAGCCUGAUGCAGCAACGCCGCGUGCGGGAUGACGGCCUUCGGGUUGUAAACCGCUUUCGCCUGUGACGAAGCGUGAGUGACGGUAAUGGGUAAAGAAGCACCGGCUAACUACGUGCCAGCAGCCGCGGUGAUACGUAGGGUGCGAGCGUUGUCCGGAUUUAUUGGGCGUAAAGGGCUCGUAGGUGGUUGAUCGCGUCGGAAGUGUAAUCUUGGGGCUUAACCCUGAGCGUGCUUUCGAUACGGGUUGACUUGAGGAAGGUAGGGGAGAAUGGAAUUCCUGGUGGAGCGGUGGAAUGCGCAGAUAUCAGGAGGAACACCAGUGGCGAAGGCGGUUCUCUGGGCCUUUCCUGACGCUGAGGAGCGAAGGCGUGGGGAGCGAACAGGCUUAGAUACCCUGGUAGUCCACGCUGUAAACGGUGGGUACUAGGUGUGGGGUCCAUUCCACGGGUUCCGUGCCGUAGCUAACGCUUUAAGUACCCCGCCUGGGGAGUACGGCCGCAAGGCUAAAACUCAAAGGAAUUGACGGGGCCCCGCACAAGCGGCGGAGCAUGCGGAUUAAUUCGAUGCAACGCGUAGAACCUUACCUGGGUUUGACAUGGAUCGGGAGCGCUCAGAGAUGGGUGUGCCUCUUUUGGGGUCGGUUCACAGGUGGUGCAUGGCUGUCGUCAGCUCGUGUCGUGAGAUGUUGGGUUAAGUCCCGCAACGAGCGCAACCCUUGUUCACUGUUGCCAGCACGUUAUGGUGGGGACUCAGUGGAGACCGCCGGGGUCAACUCGGAGGAAGGUGGGGAUGACGUCAAGUCAUCAUGCCCCUUAUGUCCAGGGCUUCACGCAUGCUACAAUGGCUGGUACAGAGAGUGGCGAGCCUGUGAGGGUGAGCGAAUCUCGGAAAGCCGGUCUCAGUUCGGAUUGGGGUCUGCAACUCGACCUCAUGAAGUCGGAGUCGCUAGUAAUCGCAGAUCAGCAACGCUGCGGUGAAUACGUUCCCGGG
rnacentral:rRNA from 1 species